UACGUAGGGAGCAAGCGUUGUUCGGAUUUACUGGGCGUAAAGGGCGCGUAGGCGGCGCGGUAAGUCACUUGUGAAAUCUCUGAGCUUAACUCAGAACGGCCAAGUGAUACUGCAGUGCUAGAGUGCAGAAGGGGCAAUUGGAAUUCUUGGUGUAGCGGUGAAAUGCGUAGAUAUCAAGAGGAACACCUGAGGUGAAGACGGGUUGCUAGGCUGACACUGACGCUGAGGCGCGAAAGCCAGGGGAGCAAACGGG
rnacentral:rRNA from 1 species